UUUCAGGUCCCCCAAUUCACUGCUGGCCAUAGCUCAAGAUCUGUCCAAAACUCUACAGACCACUUCUAGGCUUCAGAAAGGAUGGAGGAGGAAACAUGGAGAGACAGAGCAGCUGGCCAGAAUCUGGAGGUCAUGGAAGGGAGUGGUUGACUCAAACCCUAAGCUGUGGCUUCUGUGGGACUGGCAGCUCAUCUUCUUGGUCUUCAGCACAUAGUAAUCCAGGUUGGUUCCAAGCAGCUUUGUGGUUUUUACUCCCCUUAACUUUCUUAUGGGAUGUAGAAGAUCUGGAAAUAAGUUGGAAGAUCAAACAAAUAUGGAAAGUUAGAAUGAUGGAAGAAUGGAAGGAAGAAAAAUAUGGAAGAUGGAACUAAAGAAUGCAAACCAGAAAAAGUUGUGUGGGCCCAGACUAAAUAUUUAUUACUUACUUA
rnacentral:lncRNA from 1 species